rnacentral:rRNA from 1 species
AGUCGAACGAGAAAUCUCCUGCUUGCAGGGGAGAGUAAAGUGGCGCACGGGUGAGUAACACGUGGGCAAUCUACCCCCGAAUCAGGAAUAACCCCGCGAAAGCGGGGCUAAUACCCGAUAAGACCACAUUCGCCACGGCGAAAGGGGUAAAAGGUGGCCUCUAGAUCUAAGCUACCAUUUGGGGAGGAGCCCGCGGACCAUUAGCUUGUUGGUAGGGUAAAGGCCUACCAAGGCAAAGAUGGUUAGCUGGUCUGAGAGGAUGGCCAGCCACACUGGAACUGGAAUACGGUCCAGACUCCUACGGGAGGCAGCAGUGAGGAAUAUUGCGCAAUGGGGGAAACCCUGACGCAGCAACGCCGCGUGAGUGAAGAAGGCCUUCGGGUCGUAAAGCUCUGUCAAGUGGGAAGAACCUCCCCGGGUCCAAUAAACCCGGGGACUGACGGUACCACUGGAGGAAGCACCGGCCAACUCCGUGCCAGCCGCCGCGGUAAUUCA